rnacentral:rRNA from 1 species
CAGUAGCCACGGGAAUACAGAGGGUGCGAGCGUUAAUCGGAUUUACUGGGCGUAAAGCGUGCGUAGGCGGCUUCUUAAGUCGGAUGUGAAAUCCCUGAGCUUAACUUAGGAAUUGCAUUCGAUACUGGGAAGCUAGAGUAUGGGAGAGGAUGGUAGAAUUCCAGGUGUAGCGGUGAAAUGCGUAGAGAUCUGGAGGAAUACCGAUGGCGAAGGCAGCCAUCUGGCAUAAUACUGACGCUGAGGUACGAAAGCAUGGGGAGCAAACAGGAUUAGAUACCCGCGUAGUCCCUGUCUCUUAUAA